rnacentral:misc_RNA from 1 species
AAAUAAAAUAAAAUAAAAAGGAAAAUGGAGGGGAGGGAAAACAAGGGAGGAAAGUGACAUGUAGGGCUCAUAAAAAAAUUUUCUCCCAAAAUUGGGAGGAAAGUGAAAGGAAAAUGGAAGAAGUUAACUAUUAAGGGAAAAAAAAAAUAAUUUCACUCAUUACAUAACAAUUUACUUUCCCUCCCUAGUCCCUCCUAGAAUUUUAUCCAAACAAGUUAUGGGAAAAUAAAAUUUCCUUCCUCAAUAUUUUAUCUCCUUUUUUUCCUCCCUUUAUUCUCUCCCCCCUCAUGUCCAUCCCAAAAAAAAAUAUAAGGAGAACUUCCAAUGUGAAAUGAAUAAAUAGUGGAAAUAUUCUAAUAUUAUAUCAAGCAACAUUUAGAAGUUGACAUUACCUUUGUGUAAUUUGCUCGUUCUA